rnacentral:rRNA from 1 species
AGACUUUGAUCCUGGCUCAGAACGAACGCUGGCGGCAGGCCUAACACAUGCAAGUCGAGCGCACCUUUUCGGAGGUGAGCGGCGCACGGGUGAGUAACGCGUGGGAACCUACCCUGGGGUAGGGGAUAACCGCUGGAAACGGCGGCUAAUACCCUAUACGUCCUUCGGGAGAAAGAUUUAUCGCCCUGGGAUGGGCCCGCGUCGGAUUAGCUAGUUGGUGGGGUAAAGGCUCACCAAGGCGACGAUCCGUAGCUGGUCUGAGAGGAUGAUCAGCCACACUGGGACUGAGACACGGCCCAGACUCCUACGGGAGGCAGCAGUGGGGAAUAUUGGACAAUGGGCGCAAGCCUGAUCCAGCCAUGCCGCGUGAGUGAAGAAGGCCUUAGGGUUGUAAAGCUCUUUCACCCGCGAAGAUGAUGACGGUAGCGGGAGAAGAAGCCCCGGCUAACUCCGUGCCAGCAGCCCGCGGUAAUACGGAGGGGGCAAGCGUUGUUCGGAUUUACUGGGCCGUAAAGGGCGCGUAGGCCGAUGUUCGCGUCAGAGGUGAAAGCCCGGGCUCAACCUGGGAACUGCCUUUGAAACGGGACAUUUGAGUUCGGAAGAGGGUAGCGGAAUUCCCA